GUGUCCGUAAACUUGUAGAAGAUCGAAGAUUAUAUAUGGACUCCAGCAAAGGAUGAAUACUGCAAUAAUUAGAAGAAUUGGAUUGAGAAAGAUGAUGGGAGUGCUGAAGAGUGCUGAGAGACUCCAAGCAACCACCACCAACACUCGAGCUCUCCACCCUGUGUGUCAAAUUCUUCACCUUACAAAUCUUUAUCAACUGCUACUAUAAACGAUAAUAUUUUUCAUACGAAGAACUGGAUAUUGGAUUGCUCUCUAAUUAACUUUAAACACGUCUAUAAUUAAAGUAAAAUUCUGCUUACUUUUUAUUUGAUCAGAACAUUAUUAUCGUGAAGAAAAAUCGAAGAGAUUUAUCAUCGACUAUCGAUAAUUUAAUAAUUUUAUUGAAGAGGAAAGGGUACAAAAGGAUCUUCUCGACACUAUUUCUAUGUUAUAUCGUAUAUAUAUACGAUAUUUGUUUCAAAGUACUUGUAGUAAAUUCGAAGAGAAGCUUCGUUCUCCAUUUACGAAUUGUAGAAGAGAUUUUGGAAACCUCAUGAAACCUCUUGAUAGAGAUUAUUAUUUAUCUUAGUAUGCUAAUGAUUAUUAUAACAGCAAACAAAAAUA